CUACGGGGUGCAGCAGUGGGGAAUAUUGGACAAUGGGGGAAACCCUGAUCCAGCAAUGCCGCGUGUGUGAAGAAGGCCUGCGGGUUGUAAAGCACUUUCGGUUGGGAGGACUGCUUCUAGCACUAAUAUUGUUGGAAGUUGACGUUACCUUCAGAAGAAGCACCGGCUAACUCCGUGCCAGCAGCCGCGGUAAUACGGAGGGUGCAAGCGUUAAUCGGAACUACUGGGCGUAAAGCGCGCGUAGGCGGCUAGAUCAGUCGGGUGUGAAAGCCCCGGGCUUAACCUGGGAACUGCAUCCGAUACUGUCUAGCUUGAGUACAGGAGAGGAGAGUGGAAUUCCACAUGUAGCGGUGAAAUGCGUAGAUAUGUGGAGGAACACCAAUGGCGAAGGCAGCUCUCUGGCCUGAUACUGACGCUGAGGUGUGAAAGCGUGGGGAGCAAACAGGAUUAGAUACCCCUGUAGUC
rnacentral:rRNA from 1 species